rnacentral:rRNA from 1 species
AUGCACGCUGGCGGCGUGCCUCAUCCCUGCCAGUCGAGCGAACGGACGAGAAGCUUGCUUCUCUGAUGUUAGCGGCGGACGGGUGAGUAACACGUGGAUAACCUACCUAUAAGACUGGGAUAACUUCGGGAAACCGGAGCUAAUACCGGAUAAUAUUUUGAACCGCAUGGUUCAAAAGUGAAAGACGGUCUUGCUGUCACUUAUAGAUGGAUCCGCGCUGCAUUAGCUAGUUGGUAAGGUAACGGCUUACCAAGGCAACGAUGCAUAGCCGACCUGAGAGGGUGAUCGGCCACACUGGAACUGAGACGCGGUCCAGACUCCUACGGGAGGCCGCAGUAGGGAAUCUUCCGCAAUGGGCGAAAGCCUGACGGAGCAGCGCCGCGUGAGUGAUGAAGGUCUUCGGAUCGUAAAGCUCUGUUAUUAGGGAAGAACAUAUGUGUAAGUAACUGUGCACAUCUUGACGGUACCUAAUCAGAAAGCCACGGCUAACUACGUG